rnacentral:tRNA from 1 species
GAGGGUAUAGCUCAGUGAUAGAGUGCAUGCUUAGCAUGCACCAGGUCCUGGGUUCAAUCCCUAGUACCUCCU